rnacentral:rRNA from 1 species
UACGGAGGGUGCAAGCGUUAAUCGGAAUUACUGGGCGUAAAGCGCACGUAGGCGGCUCUUUAAGUCGGGGGUGAAAUCCUGGAGCUCAACUCCAGAACUGCCUUCGAUACUGAAGAGCUCGAGUCCGGGAGAGGUGAGUGGAACUGCGAGUGUAGAGGUGAAAUUCGUAGAUAUUCGCAAGAACACCAGUGGCGAAGGCGGCUCACUGGCCCGGUAUACACG